rnacentral:rRNA from 1 species
UACGUAGGGUCCGAGCGUUGUCCGGAAUUAUUGGGCGUAAAGAGCUCGUAGGCGGUUUGUCGCGUCUGCUGUGAAAUCCCGAGGCUCAACCUCGGGUCUGCAGUGGGUACGGGCAGACUGGAGUGCGGUAGGGGAGAAUGGAAUUCCUGGUGUAGCGGUGGAAUGCGCAGAUAUCAGGAGGAACACCGAUGGCGAAGGCAGUUCUCUGGGCCGGUACUGACACUGAGGCGCGAAAGCGUGGGGAGCGAACAGG